GUGGAUGGGGUAUGAAGAGGGAGAGGAGUUCCCCAGAUGGACAAUCCCCUGUGACCUAUUCACCCAGCUCAAAUCCUGUCCUGAGCUGCUGUGUUGGGGCAGGGGUGGAUGGUACCAGCUCCAGCCCUGGAAGCCUGGGACUAGGGAUAAGAAAUGACACCUGAUGGUCCCAGAUGGUUUCUUUGCCCAGCUUGGAGGGUCACUUGCGCCAGGGAGUGGAGGGAGCAAUCUGAGCCACUAAUGGCCUUGAUUCAGGCACUGGAAUUGGAGCUAAGCAAAAUUGUCUGCAAUUCACAACUUUGACACAUCCACCUCUGUGCAGUGUGACUUCAGAGCAGGAGCACCUUGCUUGGCUUCCUCCAGGUAUUUGGGGUUUAAUUGAGCAAGUCGGUCGUGGCCCAGGGCAGGAGUGGCGCUACAUGAGCAAUUAAAUCUGAUUAGCCCGAGCCCUUUAAGCCCCAGCUGGGUGAUUGAUAACCGAGACCAACAUUCUUCAAUUGACUCGCUACAUCAAAAAGGAGAAAGGCUUAAGGAGAAAGGAGGAGAAAUGCAUGGGCCCAACAUGAAAAAUAGCAAAGGAGCUGAGCUAACGGCAAAGGGAGCAGGGAGAACAGUCCUGGUCAGCCCAUAAAAUAAAUCCCUUGGGCUGAAAUGACUUGAGCUGGAGUGAGAAUGGGCAAGAGUGGCGGAGCUCGGAUUUUAACACCCUUCAGCCCUCGGAGCUGAGCUCCAUCCAUAAAGCUGUCGUCUGUUUGUUACUGUGUUUGUCCGCUCCGUCAUUACACUUUUUGCCCAGUAGUUUAAGAAAAUAAACUAGGAGGGAGAACAGGAGUGAGUAACCCCCAUUUAUCAAGCUGAUGGAUGUCCCGUGUCUCCUUUUUGUUGCGUAGGGGAGGAGCAGCGGACGCGGUGGGAAGAGAGAGGUCCUCCCUGCAGCAUCCCCGCCAGUGCCGGGGAAACGAGGUCUCACCGGCCGCUUCAGGGUUUGGGGGGACAGGGAUGCUCCGAGUCACCGGCUUGGGAGAGGGAGCAGCUCUGCUCUUCUGAGCUGGCCGAUGCUCCGUGACAGUCUGAUGAAUUAGCCCUGUUAAAAUCUCGGGAGCAGCACCCCCAGGACACACACCACCCCAAGAAGCAGCCUAGUUUCUGCUCGGCACCAGAAGGAAGGGGGGGGGUACAGGCAGCUCCCAGACCCGCCUCGCCUCCACGGUGCCAGACCCGGGGAUCCCGCCUUUGCGCACGGAGCCACCGCGCCGGCACCGCCCGCCUCCUCCUAAAUUACAGCGAAGGCGACUUGACGGGAGG